ACAUCCUCAUGAUCCCCACUCCAUCUGCCAUAUCUAAACCUAAGUCCACUGGUAUCAUCAUUAAAGAAGAACGCCCAGAUUACACUGACUUCCUUUACCAGGACUCACAAGACCCAUGGGAAGACUUCCUUCCUCUGAGCCAACACCUUCACGAGUUUCCCCAACCAACAAUGGAUGAACCUGGCCCCUCUGAACUAGGAUCCUCAUCACAACCCUCCAAAGCUGACAAAGCCACUCAGAUGCCAAGCCCCAAGUCUCAGCCAUCACCUUCCAAACCCGGAUACCGAAGAGAUUGUCCUUAUCCACCUUGCCGUGGUCCCAACUGUAAGCAUCCAAAGCUCUCCAAGACCUUUUUCCCAAAGCAACCCUGACAACCCAUAUGAGACAGAAAGCUCCUCUGAAGACGACUACAUGAAUCUCCGAUCUCCAUAAAGUAGUUUGUCUUGUUGUAAUAAUUAUGUUUUGCUUUAUGCUUUUGUCUUGUAUAAUUAUUAAAGUUUGCUUUUACUUUAAGCUUUUGCUUUUACUUUUGUCAAAAGUCAUGCCUUAAUUAUUAAAGCAUCUUUUGUCUUUUGUAAUAAUUAAAGUUGUGUCAUGAUGUAUCUUUUACUUUUGCUUUCGUAAAAGAUAGGGUUCCUGUCCUAUCUUCCGAGAAUUCUCCUAUAUAAGGAGUUCUCCCCUCCUUAUAAGAUAUAGAAGUUGAAAAAGAAAUAAACUCGUGCUUUCUCUUACAAUAUGAAUCCCUAAACCUCUUCUCUCUCUCUGCAAAUGAAGCUCUAGCGAAAGAAAAAGCAUAGAAGAAUUAAAUUUGUUCAUUUUGAAAACCUAGGGAAGUAUGCUCUGCACUUGCCUUCCAGUAAGGAUCCUGUGCAUCAGAAAACUUUUGACCAUUUCUUAUCUGGUUUGGUACCUUGUUUUAGACUAAAGAAAAGUCUGUUUUGGGUUGUAUAACCUGAGAAAAAAAUGUUUUAAAGGUUUUUGAUUACAGAGGUAUAUCGGCUGGAAACCCGAACUUGCGGACUACUGGUCCAAAGUACAGUCUUAAUUGUUGUAGUUCUGGUAUAACAACGCCACGUACACUCCAAAAUGGUAUCAAUAGGCACCACUAUUAACUUUCUAGAAAUUAUCAUAUCUCCAGUAACCUCAAUUGGUUUUCCAUUUUGACUUGUGCCAAGUAACUGUUAUGGUAAAAUUUGAAUUUUCGGAUCAUCAUUUGGAAUUGUCGGUUUACCUUUUAAUUUCAGAGCAUUCACUAAUCGAAGUCGGGUUGCUGUUUGUAUAUUAUCGGUUAACUAUUAUAAUCCAGAAUCAAUCAAAAUGUAACCUUAAGUUAUCAACUAACUAUUGCAGAGUUAUCAGUUAUCUGGUUACUUCCAGAACCUCAAUUUUUUCCUAAAACACUAUACGACCACAUAAUUCGUUAUCAUCAAAAUCAAAGUUAUAAAAAUAUUUAUGUCAACAAUCUCCCUCUUUUUGAUGAUGACAACCUGACAAGUAUUUAUGACUUCAAAAUUACUCCCCUUACGUAUAUUAUAACAUUUAAAACUUGUGAAAAUUGCCAAUUUUAGCAAGUUAUACCAAUUUAAAUCAUUUACAGAGAUCAAUUACUUCUCUCCCACUUCAUUAUAAAAAAGAAAUUGUGCAGUUGAUGGAAAAUGGAUAUUGGAAGAAAAAGAUUUACCGAACAAAAAAAAAAUGUAAUCUAAAAUUAACAUCAGUUCCCCCUACAAGCAUAUUCUCAAGAAAGUUUUUCAGUAAUUUAUCAAAAAGUUAUAUAUCUCAAGGCAUCAAAGCAAAUUGAGAAUUCAAAAUUCAAAUAUCACUAAAGUAAAUAGGCAAAUCAACCAAGUAAACGCAGAAUCCAAGUAAGAUAAUGCAUAUAAUCCAAAUAUAAUUAAAUGAUCCAAAUAAAAAAUAAUGUAAACAAAGUUCAAAAGUUUGGCAUGAAAUGAUAAAUGUCUAUGUGAAAUGUAAAGUAAUAGAAAAUAAUGAAAGCUAUUGUGGUGGAUGUGGUGAGAGUUGGGAGGUGGAACACAGAGGGUAGAAAGAAUUCGCCUAGAAGCUACUGCUGCUGAUCGAUAAUCAUUGCUGCUAAAGCUGGAAAGUAGCAAAUUGAGACUGAAGUAGUUGCUGCUACCACUCAAAAAGUGAUCGAACCUCACCUAUCAGCUGUUGUAGGACUCCCUUAGAAACUAGAGGCUCCUCAGGCAUUGGAUGCUCAUCAGUGUCCAUAUCGUAAUCGUCAGAAUCAGGCUCUGCUGGAGGCUGUGCUGCUGCUGUAGGCUAUGAAUUCUAAGCUCUAGGUCAAGAUCCACAACUAUCAUAUUUCAAACUAUAAAAGAAGGAUAUAUUAAUUAUGCAAUUUUUAAAUACAAGCACAACUAUCACAUUUCAAACAUUUCGAGCAAGUCAAUAAAUGUUAUUCGAAUUCUAGCAUAGAUGAUUAGUGUUAAAAUUUGUAUGUUUAUUAAGGGGUAAAAAUGUUAUUUUGUGCUUAUAAUAUAAUUUUCCUUUGUAAUUAUGUAAUUUCUAAUUAUUUUUCUAAAUAUUUGAUUUUGUGUAUUUUUGUAUGUUUAUUAGGUAAAAAUAAUAAUUUUUCGCAAUUUGAGCUUCAAACAAAUGUAUGGAUGUCAAAUUUGGAUUCCGGAAGUGCGAGAAAUUAGGUCAUUGUGGAGAGGAUCCGCGACUUUUGUUGUAAAUUUAUUUUUACCAUGGUAAAUGUGGUAAUUGCGAAAUUAUAAGUUUUUACUAUGUUAGGUGUGGUAAUUGUUAGCGGAAUGUGUUGGAUGUGUUUGAGUGGAUUAAUGUAGGUUUAUGUUUUGUUAGUGGGACAAUAUAUGGCUAAGAUGUAAUUAACUUUAUUUAUUUAUGUGAUGUGGAUUAAUCAUGUAUUAGUAUAAAUAGAGAGGGGGGGGGGGAACACACCUCUAUGCACCUUUCCUUCUCUUCUUUCCCCUCAAAUUCUUCUUCUCAUCUCUCUUUGUAAUAUAUUUUCAAUGAAUAAAAUUAGUUUAAUUUUCAAUUUUCAAAUGCUUUUAUUAUUAUUAUUUUUAUUUUUAACAAUUCCCUUUAUUUCAAAUAUUUUUAGCUAUAAUAGUUAGAGGAAUGUGAAACUCUUAGUAAAAAAAUAUAAUUUUAUUAAAUUUUAUUUUUAAUUAUAUAAAUUAAAUUAUUUUCCAUCUAAUUUUAUCCAUAUUUUAUAUUUGAAAUUUUGAUUUAUUGUAGACAAACAUGGGGUUUGGCAUAAUGAAUUCUUAGCUCUUCGAAGCUUUCCUCGUAUUUUGGCGUCCACAUGAACUUGACAUUCUUCUUUGUCAACUAUGUCAAUGGCAUUGCGAUCUUGGAGAAACCUUUUACAAAUCUUUGAUAAUAUCUAGGCAAACCUAAGAAGCUUCUUACUUCUCUUAUAUUAGUCGGUCAGGACCAUUGACUCACAGAUUCCACCUUUGAGGGGUCUUCUGAGAUUCCAUCCUUUGACACGACGUGUCCUAGGAAUAUAACUUUUCAAGCCAAAAUUCACAUUUCUUGAAUUUUGCAUAAAGUUAGUUCUUCUUUAAGGUCUAAAGAGUGAUCAUUAGAUGUUCAGCAUGCUCUUCCUUUGUUGGUGAGUAGACCAAAAUGUCGUCAAUAGAAACCACAAUGAAUUUGUCUAGGUAGUCUUUAAAUACCUUAUUCAUGAGGUCCAUGAAGGCUGCUGGGCCAUUACUUAGACCAAAUGGCAUGACGAUAAACUCAUAGUGUCCAUAACAUGUUUUAAAUGUUGUUUUAUGAAUAUUUGCCUCUCUAAUUCUUAAUUGGCGAUAUCCUAAUUGUAGAUCAAUUUUUGAAAAUAUUGAUGCUCCUUGCAACUGAUCAAAAGGUCAUUGAUGCGUGAAAGUGGGUACUUGUUCUUGAUAGUCACCUUAUUUAACACUCGAUAAUCAAUGCACAUUCGGAUUGAUCCAUGCUUCUUUUUAACGAAGAGUACUGGUGCCAUCCCAUGGUUAACGGCUUGGGCGUAUGUAGCUUUGUCUAGUAACUAUUGGAAGUGACUCUUUAACUCUUUUAAUUCUAAUGGGGCCAUCCUAUAGAGUGCCUUUAAGAUGGCGGUAGUUCCAAGUAACAAAUCGAUUGUGAAUUCAAUUUCUCGAUCUAGUGGCAAUCUUGGGAGUUCUUCUAGAAAGACCUUAAGAAAUUCGUUCACAACUGAAAUAUCUUCCAACUUUGGCCUUUGAUCUCCUGUUUCAAUGACCACACUUGCCAAGUACCCUUGACAUCCUCCCUUUAAUAGUUUGGCUACUUUUAAGACGGAAAUGACAAGCAUUGUUUUCUCUUUACACCCUCAUUUGAAGGUAAAUGAUUUCUUUUGUGGUGGUUGAAAAGUUACCUCUUUUUUCUUGCAAUCUAUCUUGUCAUGGUGCUUCAAUAACCAAUCCAUGCCAAGAAUUACAUCGUAGUCAUGCAUCUCGGGAUUAUUAGGUCAACACAUAGUUUAUGACCACUAAUGCUGACCCACAUGCCUUAACUAGUUGCCUUGAGUUCAAUAUGUCAGCCGAUAGUACCAUAACACUAAAAGACCUAUUUAUUAUGUUAGGGACCUUUUUGAUUUUCUUGAUGAAUACGGGUGAGGCAAAUGAAUGUGUAGCUCCUGAGUCUAUUAGCAUAUGUGCAAGAGUUUCGGAGAUAGAUAGUUCACUUGAUAUUGCUGAGGGGUAUUAGCCUUUUGCUGUUGUGUACCAUUUUUUUAGGCAGUCCUUGAGGAAGUGUCCUUCCCUUCCACAUUUAAAACAUGUUCUAGUGUUAGCUCGACAUCCUCCAAGGUGAGUUCUAUCGCAUUAAUUGCUCCCUUGCUUUUGUAGGACUUCCUUCUGAUGAUUCUUUUGGUGCUUCCUUCUAUUCUAAUCUUAGACCACUGGCGUUCCCUUUCUCUCAUUGUUAUUUGAGCAUUGUCUUUAGUGGUUAGCUAGAAAAUUCCUUUGGUCCACACUUCCUUUGUUCAUUCGUAUAAACUAAAGAAUCUCUUAAUUUUAUGUAAUAAUAUUGUAUGUCUUUUAUUUGAAAUUGCGAUAUUAAACUUUCUCACUUGAAUAUGAUAAAUUUUUUUAAACCAACACGUCCUCUUAAAUACUAAAAUAAUUAUAAAUAUUAUAAUAAUAUAAAAUAUGUAAUUCUAAGUAAUGAUGACAUAAGCAAUGACAUAAGUGAUGAUGUAAGAGAAGUUUGUAGAGAUAGUUAGGAAAUCCAGAAUUUAGUAAGGUAUUAAUGAAGGAUAAUCUCAACCAUUAAUCAAGAGUUAUGGUGGCAAAAUCCUAACCGUCCAUUAGCCUUUAGAAACCAUAUAAAUACCCCUACCCCUUUCAUUUUUUAUGUAACCUAGAAAUUCAAUCCUCUUUUAUUAUAAGUCAUAACAUCAAGUGUAGAGGAAUCAUCAAGUUAGAAAGGUCUAGAGAAGUCAAGGAGAGGUAGGUAACACUUCAACUGCAAAGUAGGGAUAAAAUUCUUUUCAAAUUUAACUUCAGUUUUAACUAAUUCCUUAUUUUGUGAUGCUACUAUGAUGUUAUUAGUUAUACUCUAAAUUUUAUAUGGUCAACUAUGCCGCCUAUAUUGUGAUAUUUUUUAUUUACUCCUUGCUAUGGUCGGCUCUGUCGCCUAUAUUAUAAUCCCAUUUUGUUUAAUCUCUAUAUGGAUGGCGCUGCCGCCUGCAUUAAAGAUUGUCGUCCUUAAAUGGCAUUGUGUAUUGAUUUUUCUGUACCUCCAAGAAGUUCACAUGUUAUAAUAUAAGUUGCAUUGAACACAAACAUUUCAUGGAUUACUUUAUAAGAAGAAAUUUUAGAAAAAUGAAUUUAUCAAAAAUAGGUUGUUUUACUACAAGGAGGUAAAGUUCCCAAGGAGGGCAAGCCCUCAAAACUAAGUAAAAAGAAAUCUUUUGGGGAUGACGAUACGUAAUGCCCAAAUGAUCAACUAAUUAGGCCCCAGGGCAUAUUGUUUAAAGAAUAAGAGUGCUCGCCUUGUCGUGCAACAUGCCUAGAGCCCUUAUAAAGUUGUUUUGUUUUUUUUCUAAGUUCUUUUAAAAACUUAAUAUGGUCAUCUAUAUGCAUAGUAAAUUAUACAUGCAUCAAAGUGUUAUCUUAUUGCGCAUUAACUCAUAAAGUCCUUAUGUUGUAGGUAAUGAUGAGUAGGGCAAGGUAGCGCCAAGUCCUAACCGAGGCGAAGUGUAUAUGGGCAUAAAAAACCUUAGGUUUUAUGAUGAGCUCAACUUUGUUUCAAUAAAAAAUAAAUAUCUUAGCUUUAUGUGAUAAUAAAGUUCUUGAAAUAUAAACCAAGGAAUCUUUGUAUACCUUCUAUAUUUUGUAAAGACGUUUUGCUUACUGUAUAAAAUUUUUAUUAAAAACUAAUGAGGUUUUAAAUAUUUUUUAAUUAAAUUAUUUUUUAAUUAAAUUAUUUUUUUAUAGGUGGAGUGUUACACAAAGGUAGUUUCAAUUUCAUGUUUAUGCAAAGACAACUACUUAUUUUAUUUCAGAAAUAAAAUUUGUAAAAUUUAUCAUGAGAACAAAUAUGUUGCACAAGGUACUUUGGAUAAUGAUCUGUAUGUACUAAACAUGAAAGAAAAUAAUGAGCAUGUUGUGAAUGUAAAUACCAUAAUACAUAAAUGUGAAAGAGAAGAAAUAAGCCCUAAGUAUAAGUGGCAUUUAAGACUAGGUCAUAUUGGAGAAGAUAGAGCCACAAAAUUGACUUUAGAUGGAUUGAUAAGUUCAUUUGGCUUGGAACCUUAUCCAACUUGUAAAUCAUGUCUUCAAGGAAAAAUGACCAGGGCACCCUUCGAUGGACAAAAUGCAAGGGUCGUUGAUUUACUUGAAAUCAUACAUAUGAAUGUGUAUGGGCCAUUUAAUGAAAUGGCAAGGGGUGGAUAAUACUACUUCAUAACUUUCAUUGAUCAUCACUUAACGUAUAGUUUUUUGUAUUUAGUGAAGCAUAAAUUUGAAGCCUUUGAAAUGUUCAAAGAAUACCGAAAUGAAGUAAAGAAACAGGCUGGAAAGGUUAUUAAAAUCCUGUGGUCAAAUCGGCGUGGUGAAUAUCUCAAUGGAGAAUUUCAAUCAUAUCGUAAAGAAAAUAAUAUUGUUUCACAUGGACACCUCCUUAAUGGAGUAUCCAAAAAGAGAAACCGCACACUCUUAGACAUGGUGCGAUCAAUGGUGAGCUAUACGGACUUGCUAAUUUCUCUUCAUGGAUAUGCUCUCCUUACUGUAACAUAUGUACUAAACAGAAUACCUUCCAAGGCUAUACUAAAAUACCAUAUGAAAUAUGACAUGGUAAACAACCAAGCUUAAAUCAUCUUAGGAUUUGGGGCUGUGUUGCUUUUAUCAAGACACUCAUGAGUGAGAAACUUGAAGCUAGAGCGAAUAGUGGGAGGCUCAUUGGAUACUCAAAGGAAAUUUUGGGUUAUUACUUCUACAUUAAAUCUGACCAAAAGAUAGUGGUCAGUAGAAAUGCCAUAUUUCCUGAAAAAGAGUUUAUUCAAUAAAGUGGACAAGGAAGAAAAAUUAGAAUUUAUAGAGAAUUCUAAUAAGGAUAAAUCUAAUGAAGUGUUUGUUGAAGUACAAACACAAGGGACACAACAGCUCCAUAGAUCUAGUAGGGUAAUUCACCCACCGGAAAGAUUUAAUUUACUUCAUCAAAUGAAUGACAUAUUUUUAUUGGGUGAUAAAGAUCAUAGAGACGACCCUCCUAGUUGUGAAGAGGCAAUAUCAGAUAUCGACUCUAAAAGCAGCUUCAAGCCAUGGAUUUAGAUAUAGACUCUAUGAGAACCAACCAAGUCUGGACUAUAGUGGAUCCACUUGAAGGUAUUACACCUAUCGAAUGCAAGUGGAUUUUCAAGCUUAGAUGGAAAAGUAGAGACCUAUAAACCAAGGUUGGUUGCUAAAGGUUAUCAUCAAACACAAUGUAUAGAUUAUGAGGAAACCUUUUCAUCGGUAGCAAUACUGAAGUCCAUUAGAAUCUUAUUGGCUAUAACAGCAUAUUAUGACUAUGAGAUUUAGCAAAUGGAUGUCAAAAUCGUAUUCCUUAAUUCUUCUUUAAUCCUAAAUUAUACCUAAAAUAAAAAAAAAUACAAAUUAUGAUAAAAUUAACAUAAUAAAAUAUAAUUUAAGAUAAAAAAAAAUAUACAAAUUAUGAUAAAAUUAACAUAAUAAAAUAUAAUUUAAUAUAAAAUAAAAUUAAGAAAACAUAAAAAUAAUAUAUAAAUUACUACCACAUCAAAAUUCAUCACUUUACAAUAAACAAAAAAGAUGUCCCCUAUAAGAUAUUAUAGAUUGGCAUGAGAAAUCCUUAGCCAAGGUGAAAUAUAUUUCAAGGAGUAUAAAUUUUAUUUUUCAUGCCAAGUUCAUUAGGAUUUGUUUUAAAAUAAAGCAUAAGUGCUUAAUGUUGAGUGUUAGAAAAUGUAUAUUUAUAAAGGAGAAAAUCGUCAUUUUAUACUUCAAGUUUUACUAACAUUCCUACUUUUAUGUAUUUAAGUCUCUUGUGAUUUAAUUAUGUGUGUUUUAUUUUAAUUAAGUAUUUUAUGUAUUUUAAGGGCAUCAUGGUCAUUUCACAAUGAACGAGAGAUCAGAUAGCAAAACAGACAUCACUUUUGAACUCAGGACAGUCGAAAACCUUAGCAGGAGCAUAAAAGGAAAAAUGGCAUUGUUCACAUGUACGGUACUAUUCCCAUGUUCACGUUACUAUUCACCACACUGUUCACACAUAUGGAACGAUGACGUGGCAUUGACCCAUGACGUGGCAUUGACUGAUGAGGUGUCACGAUUCUAUUGGACUAAAAUUCUUAUGUACUGUUGAUCGGUGAUGUAGUAGCAUGUUAGUGGACUAAAAAUUGCGCGUACAAUACAUGCAUAUACACGGGAUUAUUUACAACCAAACCACGUCACUAUUCAAGCCGCUUGACUGUUCAAACCGUGUGGUCAAACUGCGUACUGUUGACUGAUGACAUAGCGCAAUCCUAAAUGUCCAAAAUGUUUUUAAUCUGAUGGCCAUGAUUUACUCAAUGUAUCUAUAAAAAGGGGGCCUCCCCCCUAAUUUGGCAUCCCUGAAUUCAUUUUUGAGUUCAAUUUCUGUAAUUCCUUCUCCAUCUUGUAUUUUCUAUGUAUUUUAAUAAAUUCUCAUUUUGACCUUAGUUCAAUUAUGAGUAGCUAAUUUUCUUUCAAGUUUGGGUUGAAGGUGAAGUCUCAACAUGUGCCACGAGCUUUAUUUGGUAAAUUUAUUUUCUCUUCCCCUUUAAUUUUUGUGGAUGUUUUGACUUUUCGUCGACAAAUAGUAAUAAUCUUGUCUAGAUACUGCCCUGGUUUCACCGGCUCCCUAGUACAAGGUUAUUAUUAUUUGGCACGAUAAACCCUUAGUACCAUAUUGAUUAGAGCAUGGCUCAUGAGGAGUGGAAUUCCCCUCAUGAUUUUAUUGGUAUUAAUAAGGAAUAUUUAGCCCAUUGUGCAUGUUGAUGCAGAUCCAUAUAUCCAAGUAUGUCAUUUCAAUAGAUUUCUUUUCGAUUUAUUCUCGCCAUUUUAAUUCAAAUUUUAGGAUAAUCUAAGUCACUUUCACUACAAAUCCAACCACCCUCAUAGAAAUUUAAUUCUACGUAUAAUUAAAAUCCACCUCCUCGUGGGAUCGACACUAGUCACCAUUAAUCUAUUCUACAAUAGAUUCGUGCGCUUGCAGGUUCAAUAAAAUUUGCACAACAAGUUUUUGGCGCCGUUGCCGAGGAGAUAAGUUAUUUUAAUUUGUAGAAUUAAUUUUUGUACAUAAUUUCUUUUAAUUGUUUUCUUGUAAUUUUUUUCUUAUUAAAAAAAAAAGAAAAAAAGUGAAUCUACAUUUUGAGAUAAGAAUUUCUUUUCUUUUUCUCUUCUUCAAAGUUCUGUAAUUUAAUUUUCAAGUUAUUUUUCUUUGUAAUUUUUCGUUUAUCUUAUUAAUUUAUUUUAAUUUUAGUUAAUUUAUUUCAUGUAUUUUUUUUAGUGUGUUUUUAUAGAAAGGUUGUAAUAGCGUGAUAAGGUUAGUAUCGUAAUUUAUCCUUCUUCUUUAUUUUUAAUUGUUUUGUUCCCAUUUUUUUUUUGUAUUCUUUGCAUGCAUGGUCGAAGGUCAUUAUUACCUAAUUUUGAGCCCAUAGACCUUGAACUUGAAAAAGCACUUCGCACACACAAAUACAUUGUAAUUAAAGAUAAAAGAGAAAUGGAUUUGCAACAACAACAAGCACCACAGGAGAGGCCAUUUAAGGACUACUUCAGUCCUUUAGCUAAUUUGACUACAUCUUGCAUAAGAUACCCAAAUGUAGCUGCUAGGAGUUUUGAACUAAAACCUAGUGUGCUAAAUUGUCUCCCAACAUUAUGGCCUAGAAAAUGAGGAUCCAUAUAAUCAUCUGAAUGAUUUUCAUGCUGUUUGUCAAACUUUUAAAUAUGAGAGUUUUUCAAACGAUGAUGUUAAACUUAGACUAUUCCCAUUUUCUUUAAAGGAUAGAGCUCGUUCAUAGCUCAAUACAUUGCCUGCGAAUAGCAUUACAUCAUGGGAAUUUUUGAAUAAAUAUUUUCCAGUGCAUAAAAUCAAUGCUAUUCGUAGGGAAAUCUCAGAGUUUACCCAGAGAGAAGACCAGCAAUUUUUUGAAAUAUGGGAGCGAUUUAAUGGGCUACUCUUGAAGUGUCCACAUCAUGGGUACGAGAAAUGGCACCAAUGCCAAUACUUUUUGGAGGGAUUAUUGCCGAAGGUGCAAGAAUGACUAAUGGCAACAAGUGGACGAGAGCUAAUGUCAAAAAGUGCAUCAGAGAUUUGGGAAUUCUUCCAGCGACAAGCAGAUAAUUCCCAACAACGAAGUCGAUCGCUUAGGAAUACUAAAAGAAUUAAGGGAGUGAAUGCGGUUCACAUUGGCGAGUCAAGUUCGGGAAUUAAAGAAGUCAAAGAAAUGGUUGAAGGUCUUUCCCGAAAAAUAGCAUCGUUAACGACUACUAAAUCAACAGAACCACAUGACCAUGACUCAUACUCAGAUCAAGCCAAUGUCAUAGGUGUAAUGAGAAAGCCAUCAAAUUACAACCCAUACUCCAACACAUAUAACCCUGGAUGGUCUCUAAUUGCAGAGAUUUGUCAGCUAAUUGCUGAGUGACUGUUGUUGGCCUACAUUUUCCUACUCCCAACUGCUUAAAUACAGAUAAUGGCAUCAGAUUAAUACUGGUUCCCAAAUCACAGAGUGCUCUGCCAUUGUACGUAAUUCCAAUGGAACGUGGUAUUGUGAAGCUUCCUAAAUCCUUCAAUUUUUUAGGAAUCUUACUUUGGAGCAUAUGACUGCUUUCCUGUGUUAAAGCAACAAUUUCAAAUUCUCCCAACCUUCUCUUUCUUGCCAAGAUGUCUUUUAGGAAUUUCACAUAAUUAGGCAUUUGCUCCAAUGCUUCCAAAAAAGGGAUGUUGAUGUGUAAUUGCUUCAGCACUUCCAAGAAUUUACUAAACUGCUUGUCUUGUUUUUGUUUCUAGAAUCUCUGUGGGAAAGGAGGUGGAUGCCUAAAUUGCUGGGUAGCUUCAGGAGGUACCAAUCUUUGCUCAUUUAAUUUGUUGUAAGUUGUUACCACUGGUGUUGCAACUUCUUCUUCUUUAUUCAUUGGUUGAUUCCCUUCCAUAGUUGCUGCAGUUUGACCACUAACACCAGUAUCUUGGUGGCUGGGUUCCUGUAACAUGCUAUCUUCUUGAGGUGGUUCUUGUAAGGAAUUAAGUUCCAACAUUUUUCUAGACACAUCAACAGGGAUAUCAACAUUCUUUCCAGAUCUUAAGUUGAUUACUUUGCAGUGUUCCUUUCCUUCUCUUCUUGGAUCUUCUGUGUUUCUGGGCAAGCUUCCCUGAGAUCUGCUACUCAUUGCUGUGGCAAGCUGUCCAAUUUGGUUUUCCAGGUUUCUUAGAUAUACAACUUGACUUUGCACAAUUGCUUCAUUCUUCGCAAUGUAUUCCUUAAUCACGGUUUCCAAUGAAGUAAGAGGAUCAUGGUUGGUGUGUUUUUGCCCUUGAUUCUAUUGAUGAAAACUAGAUGGUUGAGUAUUUUUGUUAUGUCCACUCAAUGCUAGAGCAUUCUGAUUCUGAUUGCUCCAUGAAAAGUUUGGGUGCUGCUUCCAUCCAGGGUUGUAAGUAUUUGAGUACGAGUUGUUUUGAGGCUGUCGAUUAAAAUUACCCACAUAGUUUACUGAUACUAGAUUCCCAGGAUAGUUAUCAAAUAAAUGCUCCUCACCAUAAUACACGCAAGACAGUUCAGCAACUUGCUUUACUGCUACUGGAGCAGAAGUCAUGGCUUUCACCAUAUUAGUCAAUGAGGUUACUUGUGCUGAUAAUGCUGUAAUUGCAUCUAUAUUAUGUACCCAUGCUGCUCUUUUUGCUGCCGUCUGUCUAGUUGAUGGCCACUGAUAAUUAUUGUUGGCAAUUCUCUCUAAAAUUUCAUAAGCUUCAGUGUAAGAUUUAGAUAACAAAGCUCCAUUUGCUGAAGCAUCCACCAUCAAUCUCGUACUUGGAUUCAACCCAUUGUAAAAGGUUUCCAACUGUAUACAACAAGGAAUGCCAUGAUAAGGACACCUUCUGAGCAGUUCUUUGAAUCUCUCCCAAGCUUCAUACAAACUCUCAUCUUCAAGUUGAUGAAAGGAAGUGAUCUCAAUUUUACAUUUUUGGUUGGUGGAAAAUAUUUCAUUAAGAAUUUAUCAGCCAACUCACUCCAUGUAGUGAUGGAAUCAGAUGGUAAUGAGUUUAACCAUGCUCUUGCUCGAUCUCUUAAGGAGUAAGGAAAAAGCCUUAGUCUUAAAGCAUCUUGUGUUGCUCCAGCAAUAUUAAAAGCAUCACUCACUUCCAAAAACAACUUAAGAUGGAGGUGAGGAUCUUCAGUUGGUAGUCCAUUGAAUUAACCCACUGUUUGGAACAUUUGAAACAUCAUUGGCUUCAGUUCAAAGUUUACGACUUCCAUUUCAGGUCUGACUAUUCCAGGAUGUACAACUUGAGGAGUUAACACAACAUAAUCUCUUAUAGCCCUGUCUCUAUCAUCUGCCAUGUAAACAAUAUUGUUGUUGUCUGGCUGUCUCUGAUUAACAUGCUCAUUCUACCCAUCUUGAAUGUUGACAGGUUGUAAUGACACGUGAGGGUCGAAGUUUCCCACAUAUUGCAGAUUAUCCAUGUCUGAAAUACUUUUUGAAUUCCUUUGUUCUAUCACCAGUUUUCUUACAGUCCUUUAAAUCUCAGGAUCAAAUUGGACUACAACAGAUCUAUUUUUGCGUAUGCAAGUGUUGAUCUGUCAAUAAAUAGAACCAAUUAGAUCAAGUUAACACUAAUAAGAUUUACUUCACACCUCGAAAAUAAAUAAUCAAUCCCCGGCAACAGCGCCAAAAACUUAUUGGUUAAGUUUUUGCGUAUGCAAGUGUUGAUCUGUCAAUAAAUAGAACCAAUUAGAUCAAGUUAACACUAAUAAGAUUUACUUCACACCUCAAAAAUAAAUAAUCAAUCCCCGGCAACAGCGCCAAAAACUUAUUGGUUAAUUUCUACUCAAUUGCUAUUUAUGCCAAUGUGCAAGUGUACACAACAAGUAAUAAAGUGAUUAAUAUUCUAGAUCGUCUCCACAAGGACUGAUGUUACUAGAAAUGCUACAUCAAUCACAAUAGUGCAAUCUACCUUUAUUUCACGAUGAACCUAGUUAAAGUUGAUUACUACCGAAAUUAACAAUUGUAAAGAGAUAAAACAACUAAUUGCAGUGAUGAAAUAAAUUAGAAUAUUUUUGUAAAAGAAUCAAAUGAGAAUGAGGUAGUUGAAUGAUCAAACUAUUUUCAUGGGUUGACUGCUUUCCAUCAAAUUAGCACCAGUUGCUACAACAAUUCCUACAGCACUGGGCAGAAUUAUUUUGCAUCCUCAGCUAUCGCGUGUUGGACUUUUCAUAUCCUUAAGUAUCAUAACAAUGACCAGUUGCUAUUCUACCUAUGACAUGACAUUAUGAACAUCUAUUCUCUCCGCCCUACAAGGUGAGUGCCUAUGUCUAGUUCCUCGCAAAUCUUAACUUCAAGUAUAGCCCUUAUGGAGCUGCUUUUAGCAGUCCCAAACAAGCCCAAACACGUUCACAGGAUCUUCUCUCUCAAAAGCUCUCUCUUCUUGAGAAAGCUUAGAGAGUAGGAGCGUAGCUGAGCCUGAAUGGCUCAUUAACUCACUCUUAUUGAGUGUUUUGUUAACCUUUUCUAAAGUUCCUUUAAAGCUUAAGUCUUCACUACAGUAGUUCGAAUGUCAUAAUUGCAUUAAAAAAGGUGGGUGAGCAUUCUCGUCUAUUAAAAUGGCGACCGAGGAAUUAGUUCGAAGAUGCAAGUCAAUAUCUUUAGAGGAAGCAGAAGAAAAUAAGUUCUCUUUUAAAGGAAAAAUUAAAGAGAAGGGAAUACAAGUAGCAGCGGGCUGCUUAAUUGGAAAAGUUCUGCAAACAAGAGGAGUAAACACAGAGGUGUUGAGAAUUGCUCUAAGGGGGACCGUGGCAUUUUAAACAAGCACUGAUUGUGCUCAAAGAACCAGAAAGAAUCGGAGAAAUCACAGCCCAACUCUUCACAUACAACAUUUUGGGCACAAAUAAAAAAUGUCUCGAUUAUGUGUAUGGAUGAAGAAAUUUGUAAGGGGAUUGGAGAGCUCAUCAGAGAAUCGGAGAAAUCACAGCCCAACUCUUCACAUACAACAUUUUGGGCACAAAUAAAAAAUGUCCCGAUUAUGUGUAUGGAUAAAGAAAUUUGUAAGGGGAUUGGAGAGCUCAUCAGAAGAGUUGAAGAAGUGGAUACGAACAGAACAAGAGAUGUCAUAGGGCAGGCUAUACGGUUGAGAAUCUCGGUUGACAUCACCAAGCCCCUGAAGAAAAUCUUGUUCAUUGAAACAGAAGAAAAGAAAAAAAUCCCAGUUGCAGUGGAGUAUGAAAAGCUUCCAGACUUCUGCUAUUGUUGUGGAUGUCUUGGACAUUCAUAUAAAGAAUGCACCAAAUACAAAGGGCAACCAACAAAAGAGCUUGACUAUGGACCAUGGCUGAAGGCACUGACGUGGGGGGAAAAAAUGAAACAAAACAGGACAAGGGAACAAUAGAGCACAAGAAUGAGCAGGGGAGAUGAGAUGAAAAGCCAGGAUCACAGUCAAAAGUCCAUGACAAGGGAGCAGCACCCCCAGAAGCUAAUGAAUGAACCAAGAAAUUUGGACCAAGGCUCAGCUGAACCGAACCAGGGCAAGCUGAACCGGGAAGCACAAAAUGGAAGUGACAUCACAGUUGGGGAAGGUGUAGAACAUUUAAUGAAGGAGGGGGAGAAAUCGAGGACUGAAAAAAGUAGCAGCCAAAGACCAGGAAAGACAGCUGGGUGCAGGGAUAAGAAAUUGGAAGCGGGAAAAAUAGGAGAAGCAGAAAACGAGGGAAAUCAAAAAAGAGAGGGAAAUGUGAAAAAAAAAUUGUGACAGUGUAGUGGGCCAAGAACCGGGCUCAGAUGCAAUGGAAGGGGAGGAAGUAGAUGCAAGUCAAUAUCUUUAGAGGAAGCAGAAGAAAAUAAUUUCUCUUUCAAAGGAAAAAUUAAAGAAAAGGGAAUACAAGUAGCUGCGGGCUGCUUAAUUGGAAAAGUUCUGCAAACAAGAGGAGUAAACACAGAGGGGUUGAGAAUUGCUCUAACUCAAGUGUGGCAAACAAGAAAAGAAGUAAAGAUUGAAAAUAUGGGGGACAACAUUUUCAUUUUUAAGUUUGGGGAUGAAGUAGACAAAAGGAGAAUUAUUGCAGGGGGACCGUGGCAUUUUAAUCAAGCACUGAUUGUGCUCAAAGAACCAGAAAGAAUCGGAGAAAUCACAGCCCAACUCUUCACAUACAACAUUUUGGGCACAAAUAAAAAAUGUCCCGAUUAUGUGUAUGGAUAAAGAAAUUUGUAAGGGGAUUGGAGAGCUCAUCAGAAGAGUUGAAGAAGUGGAUACGAACAGAACAAGAGAUGUCAUAGGGCAGGCUAUACGGUUGAGAAUCUCGGUUGACAUCACCAAGCCCCUGAAGAAAAUCUUGUUCAUUGAAACAGAAGAAAAGAAAAAAAUCCCAGUUGCAGUGGAGUAUGAAAAGCUUCCAGACUUCUGCUAUUGUUGUGGAUGUCUUGGACAUUCAUAUAAAGAAUGCACCAAAUACAAAGGGCAACCAACAAAAGAGCUUGACUAUGGACCAUGGCUGAAGGCACUGACGUGGGGGGAAAAAAUGAAACAAAACAGGACAAGGGAACAAUGGAGCACAAGAAUGAGCAGGGGAGAUAAGAUGAAAAGUCAGGAUCACAGUUAAAAGUCCAUGACAAGGGAGCAGCACCCCCAGAAGCUAAUGAAUGAACCAAGAAAUUUGGACCAAGGCUCAGCUGAACCGAACCAGGGCAAGCUGAACCGGGAAGCACAAAAUGGAAGUGACAUCACAGUUGGGGAAGGUGUAGAACAUUUAAUGAAGGAGGGGGAGAAAUCGAGGACUGAAAAAAGUAGCAGCCAAAGACCAGGAAAGACAGCUGGGUGCAGGGAUAAGAAAUUGGAAGCGGGAAAAAUAGGAGAAGCAGAAAACGAGGGAAAUCAAAAAAGAGAGGGAAAUGUGAAAAAAAAAUUGUGACAGUGUAGUGGGCCAAGAACCGGGCUCAGAUGCAAUGGAAGGGGAGGAAGUAGACAAUGGGCCAAAAAAAAUCCAAGUGAAACAAAAGAGGAAAAAAUGGCAUCAAGCAAGGCAGCUCGAAGGGAAAAAAGGAGAAACAUCUAAAUCAAUUCUAGCAAAGAGACAAAGCUGUGAAAUGGGCUGGCUAAGUCCGCAACCAAAGAGAAGCAAAACGCUCAGCCCAAACAAAACAAUGGGCCAAAAAAAAUUCCAAGUGAAACAAAAGAGGAAAAAAUGGAAGCAUCAAGCAAGGCAGCUCAAAGGGAAAAAAGGAGAAACAUCUAAAUCAAUUCUAGCAAAGAGACAAAGCUGUGAAAUGGGCUGGCUAAGUCCGCAACCAAAGAGAAGCAAAACGCUCAGCCCAAACAAGCUAACAACUACAGAGUACAGCUACAAUUCUCCCCGAGCAAAAAUCAAAUUAAGGUGGGAAGCUCACAACACGAAUGACAUGGAAAUUUCAACCACAAUCACUGAGGAACCAACGGCGGAGGCUGGGAGCCAGCCCCGCCGACAACCAUGAAGCUCAUCAGCUGGAAUGUUCGGGGAAUGAGGAAGGACCGGACAUUCUGAGAAAUCAAAAUGAUCCUCCGUGAGCAUAAACCAGAAAUUAUGUUUUUUUGUGAAACAAAAUUGAUGGGGCAGCUCAUGAAAAGAAGAGCAGCAGAGCUAAAUUUCCAAAAUUGCUUCGCAAUAAGUAGUCAUGGCAAGGGAGGGGGGCUGGCAAUGAUGUGGAAGGAGGGGAUAGAAAUGGAGAUUAAACCGUACAGCAAGCACCAUAUAGAUGUCGUAGUGCAAAAUAACGAGGGGAGCUUUUGGAGAUGUACAGGGGUUUACGGUAAUCCAAAAACAAAAGAGAGAAAGCACACGUGGGAGCUAAUCAGAAGGCUAUCAGGUCUGUCAACUAUACCUUGGAUUUGCUUUGGAGAUUUUAAUGAAAUUCUGCACUUGAGGGAAAAAAUUGGAGGAAAUGAUAGAAACGUAGGAUUAAUCACAGCCUUUAGAGAAGCAAUUAACGAUAGUGGCCUCACCGACUUAGGCUACAAAGGGUACCCCUUUACUUGGUGUAAUAGAAGAUUCGGGCCACAUAUUAUUGAAGAAAGGCUGGAUAUAGCCUUUUGCUGUAAAAAUUAGGGUGGAGUGUUUCAAGAAUUGCCUGUCCAACACAUUAAAACAUGGAGCUCAGACCAUUACUCUAUUGUUAUGGAAGUAGUGGAAAGGGGGAGAAGAGCCAGAUAUGAGAAAAAAACUUUUCCAAGAAUGUACUAUGAAGACAUGUGGAGUCCGUACGAAAAAUGCCAAGAGAUUGUGAAAAGAGAGUGGUGGGAACAAAGUAAAUGGGAGGGUGCAGAUGCCAUAGAGGUUUUUAAAAAAGCCACAAAGAAGUCCAUGGCUGAUCUGAAAUUGUGGAGCUCAACUGAAUUUGGGGGGAGAGAAAAAAAGGUUAAGAAGCUAAUAAAGGAGCUGAAGAACUUGAAAAGAAACUAUGACCAUUAUGUGAAUGGGGACAGAAUCAGGGGGCUGGAAAAUCAUAUUGACAAUUUGCUAGCUGAUGAUGAAGUGUAUUGGAAGCAGAGAUCUAGAGCCGACUGGCUUUUGGCGGGAGAUAAAAAUACGAAAUUUUUUCAUGGCAAAGCUUCAGCGAGAAAAAAAAAAGAAUAAAAUUUGGGGAGUUUUGAAUGAAGACGGAAACUGGACUGAAGAAGCUGAGGAGAUCGAGAGCAGAUUUUGUGAUCAUUUUGCAAACCUCUUCACUACAACAAGGCCUUCAAGAUAGCAAAGGGAAUCAGUUGUGGAAAGUGUACCAAGGAGAGUCACAGCAGAGAUGAACGAGGAGUUGACCAGACCAUUCACAAAGGAGGAAAUUAAAGAAUCUCUUUUCCAAAUGUGCCCAACAAAAGCACCAGGACCGGAUGGCCUCCUUGCGGCUUUUUUUCAAAAGCACUGGAAUUUCAUCGGAGAAGGAGUAACAGCUACAUGUCUGCUAAAUGAUCGAGGUAACCUCGCUCCACUAAACCAUACGUACAUUGCUCUUAUCCCAAAAAUAAAAAAGCCGAGAGAGGUAGCUGACUAUAGACCUAUUAGCUUGUGCAAUGUCAUUUAUAGAAUCAUAGCAAAAUGCAUAGCUAAUAGGUUAAAGAAAAUUCUGCAUGAUGUAAUAUCCCCAAAUCAAAGUGCAUUCAUUCCAAAUAGACUCAUCACAGACAACAUUAUUAUAGGAUAUGAAUGCCUUCACAAAAUUAGAAUGAGCAAGGGAAAGAAAAAUGGGCUAGUUGCGCUGAAGUUAGAUAUAAGCAAAGCCUAUGAUAAGGUGGAGUGGAAUUUUCUAGAGCAAAUCAUGUAUAAGCUAGGAUUCGAAAAAACCUGGAUUGACUUGAUUAUGAAUUGUAUCUCUACCUCAUCUUUCUCUGUAUUGAUCAAUGCGGCGCCUAAAGGUUUGGUGAAACCAGAGAGGGGUUUACGACAAGGCUGCCCUUUAUCCCCAUACUUGUUUAUCAUUUGUGCAAAAGCUUUUUCCAGUAUGCUGAUUCAAGCGGAAAAAAAGAAGCAUUUUCAGGGGUUGAAGUUCAACAAAGAGCUUUUCAUCAAUCAUUUGUUGUUUGCGGACGACAGUCUAAUCUUUAGUAGAGCUGCAGUGGAAGAUUGCAAGAAGCUGAAGCAGAUUUUUGAUUGUUAUGCUGCUGCUUCUGGCCAGAUCUUCAACUUCGAAAAGUCAUCCAUGUUGUUUAGUGGAACUGUUUCAGCUGGGCAAAUAAAUGAAAUAAAAGACAUCUUCCAGCUAAAGGUGGUUUCGAAGCAUGAGAAGUAUUUGGGGUUGCCCUCCAUGGUUGGAAGAAAGAAAGUAAGCUUUUUCAAGGAAAUAAAGUUGAGAAGCUUAAGCAAAAUCUCGGGAUGGCAAAGCAAAUUUUUCUCAAGUGGAGGUAGGGAGGUUCUAAUAAAAGCAGUGGCCCAGGUUGUUCCAGCCUUUGCAAUGAGUGUGUUUAGACUUCCUACAACUUUAUGUGAUGAUAUGCAACGAGCAGUUGCUAGUUUUUGGUGGGGAAUAAAAAAGGAUCGGAAAAGUAUCCACUGGACAAAGUGGGAGAGUCUUUGUCACGCAAAGGGUAGGGGAGGGCUUGGAUUUAGAGACUUUGCAUGUUUUAAUCAAGCCCUGAUAGCAAAGCAAAGCUGGAGAAUAAUCCAAAACCCUGAAUCUUUACUGACGAAAAUUUUGCAGGCAAGAUACUUCAAGAGCGGUGAAUUCUUACAAGCCAAGUUGGGAUCAAAACCAUCCUUCAUUUGGAGGAGCAUACUUUUGGGGAGACAAAUCAUCCAAAAAGGAAUGAGAUGGAGAAUUGGAUCAGGGGAUUCGGUUAAGGUAUACAAGAGCCAAUGGAUACCAAGACCUCAAACUUUUAAACCUAUUGCUCUGGCAACUCUAAGUGUGGAAGCCACUGUAGCAGACUUGAUAGAUGCCAAUCAUCAGUGGAAAGAAACACUCAUACAUCAGCAUUUCAGUAAAGAAGAUGCUGAAAAAAUUAUACAAAUCCAGCUCCCAAACAGCCCCCAACCAGACCAAAUCUUGUGGCAUUAUGAUAAAAAAGGCCAGUAUUCGGUUAAGAGCGGAUAUCAAAUAGCUAGGAAGAUCAAGCACCCUGAAGAAUCAUCUUGCUCUAAAAAUAACAGUGGGCAAUGGAAUGUGAUAUGGGCAAUGGAGCUACCAGAGAAAAUAAAAAUUUUCAUGUGGAGGGCUGUAAAAAGUCUGCUCCCAACAGCAGAAAAUCUAUGGAAAAUGAGAGUGUUGCAGGAACCAAUAUGCUUGAGGUGUAAAAUGAAGGCUGAGAAUAUCGUCCAUGCAAUUUUGGAAUGCAAACCAGCAAGGCAGAUGUGGAAGCUAACUCCCUAUUAUGCAAAAAUGAAUGUGCUUAUAAAUCAGGAUUUGUUAUCUAUGAUGAAGGAAUUAGCAAAAAGUAGAAGCAAAGAGGAGUUGCAGAGGAUAAUUGCAUUGUGCUGGGCAGCCUGGUAUUCAAGAAACAGGUCUAUCUUUGAAAAUGCAGAGCAAGAUCCUCAUAUCACAGUAGCCAAAGCUGAUGCCACAGUUGAGGCUUAUGCAAGAGUAAAAAUGGGGAAGAUUUUAGCAGCAGCAAGCAACACACCAGAAAAGAGAUUAAGCUGGUUACCUCCUUCGCAAGGUUUUUUUAAAGCAAAUGUCGAUGCGGCCAUAAAUGAAGAGAAAAGGGAAGCAGGUCUAGGAGUGGUGAUCAGAGAUAGCAAUGGAAAAGUGAUAGCUGCAGCUGUAAACCGAACACCCUUCUACGGGAAUGUAGCUCAAGCUGAAGCAGCUGCAGUGAACUUUGGGAUCCAGACUGCAAUAGAAGCUGAUUUGCUACCUCUAACUAUCGAGACGGAUUGGAAAGAAGUCUUUGAUUUUGUCUUCCAUAAGCAGAGCAGCAGAACGAAAAUAUUCUGGAAUAUAGUUGAAAUUCAAAAAAAGAUGAACUCACUUAACAGCAGGGCAAAAAUUCAGCAUAUCUCUAGAGACUGUAAUACAAUUGCUCAUGCACUAGCUACGAUAGCCCUAGGUAGUGACAGAUCUUGCGUUUGGAAGGGAUCGUUCCCUCCUCAAAUCAUGUGCUUAUUUUCAAAGCUUUGUUAAUGAAAUUAAAUCUUUCUAUCAAAAAAAAAAAAGUAUAGCCCUUAUGGGAUUCAAGAUAAACUUAAUCCAGGAAACUCAAAUUAAGAUAAAGUAUUACUCUAAUAAUAUUCACUAAGACAGACCCUUUUGCGGCUCUAUCUUAACUUGAACCAUUAAAUGGGUGGUCAACCGAAAUAACAGCUAUAAUAAUAUCUACUAGAGUAAAAUGCUACAACAAUUAUAUAGCAACUCAUAAGAAAAGUCAAAAACUCAUUAAGAUUGUUUGUCACUCAACUACAAGCAAGUUUAGUUCGUACUUUGAAAAAGAAAAACAAACAGCAAACUAUUGGUCACGAAAUACAUCGGUUCCAUCAAAAAGUAAAGAAAAGAACAAAUAAAGAACAAUGAAAAUUGAAUCCAAAUAACUCUGCUGGAUUCUUCACUGAUGCAGACUUGGUUCUCUUGAAUUCAGAUUGUUUUCUUCUUUUCCUCUCAAUUUUUCCCAAUGUUAAUUUAUUGCCGCUGUUUUAUGUGAUGCGCGCCCCUUUUUAUAACCGAAAACUAGGGUAAACAAAAGCCUAGGGUGCGCCUGAGUCAAAUUAGGAAACUGCAGAUCGCAAUUCUCCAGAUAUCCCACGCUAAAUUUUCUCUGUCGUUGUUCCAUAAUUGCUACAACAAUGGUUACUCCAGCAACGGCUAUAAAACUGCACUGCUCCAGGUUUUGUUUCUCUUAUUUCUGGUCGUAUUCUUCCUCCUCUUUGCUAACCUAUUGCAUCAGCAUCCCUUCCAUGAAUUAUAAGCUUAUGAAAACCUACAAUUAUGCAUAUGUUUUGAGCACAAAUUACUUUAAAUCAAGCAAAACUUAUUAAGACUAAACUAAAAUAGAUAUUUAUGCAAAGCUUAACAAAAACGCAAUAAAAACACAUCAUUUACUCUCUAAGUGAUCUUGAUUUAAGUCUAAAAUUGUCAUAAUAACUCUCAUUUCAUAGAGUUAUCAUUAGCUGUUUGUUUCAAGCCAACUAAUUGUUAUGUUUCUCUUUUACUAAUGGCUUGUUUUGAGCCAGCUAACUGUUAUGUUUCUCGUUUACUAAUGGCUAGCCGCUUGCAAUAGGUGGCUAGUCGGUUUCCUUGUGUUUUGCACCAUUUUGGUUUUCGGCUAAAAUUUGACCAAUUCUAAAACUAUUUUAAGAUUCUGAAACAUUUCAAAAGCAUUUUUAAUGCAUGAACAAGUUCUAAAGCAAUAUCUCCCUUUUGCAAUAUGAACAUGCAAGAAAUGAUGCCUAAUUUCAAUGUGUUUAAUCCUAUAAUAUUGGACAUAAUUUUUAGAUGAAUUUAUUGCACUUGUGUUAUCACACUUGAUAGGAAUGUGAUCAAGAUUAAUUGUUGUGAAAAUUUUAGUGCACUCGCAAGCACACAAAUCUAUUGUAGAAUAGAUUUUGUGGUGACGAGUGUAGAUCCCACUAGGAGGUAGAUUUAAUUAUGCAUAGGGUUAAUUUCCUAUGUGUACAUGGGAGUUGGUUGGAUGUGAAUCUUUUAUCUUAAGAUUUAAAAUAAAAUGGCAGGAAUGAAUUAAAGAUGAAAACAAUGUAAAUGAAACGCUUGAGUCCCUAGAUUCACACUCAAUAUUCACCAUCGGCUUAUUAUUUCCUUUUUAGUACCAAUUAAUUCUUGAGGCAGGUAUUUCCACUCUUUGUAAUCCUCACUUUAGUAAAUAUGGUAUUAAGCACUCAGUGUGCUAGAGGUAAUGAUCUUCCACUAAGUGUAAUGUUAAGAACACGCUGCGCCAGACGACAAUAAUCAUUCUGUUGACAACGUGGUAAGACCAUCCACUAAAUACCUUAGAUACACUCUAUGUCGACACUGAGACAAGACGACCCACAAAAUACUAAAAGGAAUUUUUCUCUCUAAUUAAUAUGGUGUUAAGUGUUCAUUGUGCCAGAUAGUAACGAUCCUUCACUAGAGAGCCGAUAUACCGAGCAAAAUCUGGACAAUAUACACUGCAUGUUGACAAUAAGUCAAAACAAUCACAUAAAUCAGAGAGGAAAGAAAAUAAACCUACCUAAUUAAGCCCAUGGACCAUGUUGAGGCUUUGCCUUCAACCCAAGCUUGAAUCUAAACUAACCACUCAUAAUUGAACUAGGGGUAAAAUGGUAAUUUUAUUAAAAUUCAUAGAAAAUACAAGACAGAGGGAGAAUUACAAAAAAUGGAGCUUAAAAAUGAAUUCAGGGGUAUCAAAUUAAAGGGGAGCCUCUAUUUAUAGAUACAAUAGGUAAAUCAUGGCCAUUGUAUGAAAACAAUUCGGAUGCUCAAGAUUACACCACGUGACAAGAUUUGAUUGAUUGGAACACAUCAUCAGUCAACACCACAUCAGCAUUUCGGUCCAAUAAUAUGCUGCCACGUCACCGGUCAAUACCGCAUGAUCAGUCAAUGCCAUAACAUUGGUCCAAUAGGAUGCUGCCACAUCAUCGUACCGUAUAUGGGAACAAUGCCAUACUUGUAAAUAGUACUGUAUAUGUGAACAAUGUCAUAUACAUGAACAGUACUGAAUAUAUUUUUAUACUCCUCUUAAGAUUUUCGACCGUUUCGAGUUAAAAAAUGUCAUCUGUUUCACUGUCUGACUUCUCUUUAGUCGUGAAAUGGCUAAAAUAUCCUUGAAAUACAUAAAGUACUUAAAUUAUAAUAAAACACACAACAUAAUAUCAGGCCUAAUAACAACCGAUCAUACCUUGAUAUGUUUUGACAUUAGCUUCCUUACUUUUUUCAUCCUAGUCAAGCUUGAUUGUUGAGCUCAUUGAAGUGCUUUUAGUCUUUCCAUUUUCAAUUCCAAAUCUUUUAAGUAAAUUUCUUGAGUAUUUGGCUUGAUUUAUAAAAAGCAGAUUGCGCAAAAUCCGCCUCCUUAAGGAAACACCUUAAUUCCGCUAUCAUACUCAUCUCAAAAUUUUGCUUAUACAAGAUGAAAAUUUCAUACACAAUUACUUAUUAGUAGAACCAAUGAUAAUAUCAUCAAUGUAAAUUUGAACAAUGAGUAUAUUUUGAUUCCCAUCCUUAAUAAAUAGUGUAGUAUCUAUUUUUUCCAUUGAAAGACCAUUUUCCAAAAGAAAUUUACUAAGCCUUUCGUACCAUGAUCUGGGUACUUAUUUUAAACCAUACAAAGGUUUAUACAACUUACAAAUAUAAUUAGGAUAUUUUUCAUUUUCAAAACCAAGGGUUUGUUUCAUAUAAACUUUUUCUGUAAUAUAACCAUUUAAGAAAGCAUUUUUAACAUCCAUUUGAUACAAAAUAAAAUCCUUAUGGCAUGAAAAUGCUAAGAGCAUCCUAAUAGAUUCUAAUCUAAAAAUAGGAGCAAAUGUUUCAUCAAAAUUAAUUCAUUUUUCCUAAUUGUAUCAUUAAGCUAGUAGUCUAGCUUUAUUUCUUACAACUACACCAAAUUCAUGCAUUUUAUUUCCAAAAACACAUUUAGUGCCUAUCACAGAUUGAUGUUCUAGUCUAGGAACCAAUUUCUAUAUAUUGUUUCUCUUAAAUUGAUUUAACUUUUAUUGCAUUGUCAUAAUCCAAGAUUUAUCAUUUUCCGCAUCUGAAAAGGAUUUUGGUUCAAUUUGAGAUAUGAAUUCUGUAUGUUCGCAUGUAUUUCUAAGUAAUGAUCUAAUGGUUAUGCCUCGUAAGGGAUCUCUUAAAAUUAAUUCUUUAGUGUGUGAGGAGACAUAGCUCCAUUCCUUGUGCAGUGUUUAAGAAUUACCUCCAUUUUGAUUAUGCUUAGCUGUCUUCUUAUUGCUUCUUUUGAUUUUUGCCUGAUAGAUCAUCUUGUUUGUCUUUUGAAGACUCUUCUUUUUGUAACUCUUCAUCUGCAUCAUCAUUAGCAGUAACUUCAUCUGCAUCAUCAUAAGGAGUCUUAUUUAGAUAAGGUUUAUCAAGACACGAUUUAAAACAUAACAAGUGAUGUUGAUGGCUUCAGCCCAAAAAUAUUUUGGUAAUGCAUAUUCAUUUGACAUGGUCCUAGUCAUUUCUUGUAUAGACCUAUUCCUUUUCUCAACUACUCCAUUUUGUUGUGGAGUCCUUGGUGAUGAGAAUUGAUACUUAAUGUGUCAUGACCCAACCCAUACCUAGCAAGAUAUUGUUCGCUUUGGGCCAUACUCGUCCUUGAAAUUUGUUUUCUAAACUCUUGUUUUACUGCUCAAAAUGGUAUGAUUUAAGUCUUUUUCUUUUUUGAUCCAUAGACUUCAGACGCAGAGAGAAUUUCUCAUUCAUGGCUUCUACUUCCUCUUCAAAUCCUUCAACACCUGUUACUCUUUCUUCCACUCUUUCUUUGCCGAAAUCUUGCACUUCUCAUACUGCCAAAAAAAUUGAAAAUCUUGUAGAAUAAUCCUACAUCCCUGAAUCCGCCCAGAUCAGUGAAUCUUCAUACCCCCUCAUAAGCCCUUAUCAACUCUACAAACGCCCCAGUUCUUUUACCCGCAGUAUUUGUACUCUCAUCUCCACUCGCAGACCUCACCCUAAAGAAUAUAUCCAGCCUUCUCGCCUGGAUCAAUGUUCACUCCAAGCAACCCCUGCUGAGCAAUAUGUUACUCUCGAAAUACCCUCAGAGUUAAUUUCCAACUGGAAACAAGAAGGUUACACUCAUCUCCAUCUUGGAGGCAUCAGAUUAAUCCUUACCCUUCAUGGGAGAAAAGGAUUACCAGUUACCGCUCGAAUUGCUAUGCUUGAUACCCGAUUCAAACAAUACCAAGAUGCUGUUAUCGGUACUGUCCUCACAACCCUUCAUGCAGGAAGUGUUUUACUCACUUUCUAUCCCAAUUUCAACCUUUCUCUCCAAGACCCAAAUUUGCCCAUAACCUUGAAAGUUCAGGUUCAGAUCCAAGGUGCUGAACAAAUUUCUUCUGCCAAAAUUGCCACUUUACACCACCAACUGGUCUACAGGCUUCAAAAUCAUGCCUUAGAUCUACCCACUCCAGAACACCACUCUGACACCCUCAUGGUGUUAGCAGAAUCCGACCAGAUCCCGACAAUUAUCCAGAUCCCAAGACAAAUUCCACGUCAUGAGCUCAUCAAGCUUAUGCCUCUUGAAUGGAUCUCCAACUAUGAACAGUUCCACAAUAAUACAGCUCCUAUUCAGACAUCUGAAAGUAUGUUUGAAAGACGACAAGAUGGAACAGUCAGAAUGACUUUUAAACCACCUCCCAGUGCUCCACAAGAGCCUCCUCGGCUCUCCUUUACUCAUUCCUCAAUGAUCACAGCUGUUCAGACAGCCCAAAAAGAUCUGCCCAUUACAAGGUUUAAUUCUGAAGGUUACCCUGUUUAUCCAGCCAAACACAAUGGCCAUUUCCUAUGGGAUGCCCCUGGUUCCGGCAUGUGUGACCCAAAUUGUCCCUGCUGGGAUGAUUGGGAAGAAGACGAUGAUUACGCAACCACAAGGAAAAAGAAACCCAAGAAGAAAAAACCUCCUGUCCCAUGUCACCACUGUGACCCUAAACCACCAUCAGAUCCUCCACCUCCACCGGCUCCAUUACCCAUCUACCGAAAAGAACUCAAAUGGAUUGCCAAACAUUGCAAAUCUGAGAUUCCAUCACCCCUCUCACACCCAACACCUAUCGUCCAACCACUGGCUUGUAUGAUGUUUUCCUCUACCACUUCCGAUUACCCUUCUUCCUUUCCUCCUUUGGAACCCCACACAGACUCUCAACGAAAUGUUGUGUCCAAACCCUUUAUCCCUUCACCUAUUACCUCCACUGCCCACUUGGAGCCCCGUAAACCUUUUGAAUCAGUCCUUAACUGGCAAACUCAAAAUGCCAGGGCCCAAAAUGAUACCUUGUUGCAUCUCAAUUCAAAAGUUGAGAACAUCAGUUUGCGAACUGAACAGAUUGAAACAAAAGUUGAUUCCAUCACUGCACAGAUGCAGCAGAUCCACCAAAAUUCCUACCCUUUUUACCACAUCUCCUCUUAUCCCUUCCAUCGGUCCAACUUAUCAUCCUUUUGCCUCUAUGCUUUCUCCUAUUAAACAGUAUGACCCUUCCAAGUUAUUUGGUAUGACUCAUACUCUUUUCAGAGACAAUCCUUUACCACCACCACCUAAGCCUAAACCCAAAAACCCUUCCAAGUUAUUUGGUAUGACUUACACUCUUUUCAGAGACAAUCCUUUGCCACCACCACCUAAACCCAAACCUAGACCGCAACCUCGACCUGCCCCUCUUCAUCCUUCCUCUCUGACCAUCCCUGGCCAACCAUCUCCUAGUUCUACACCGACAUNNNNNNNNNNNNNNNNNNNNNNNNNNNNNNNNNNNNNNNNNNNNNNNNNNNNNNNNNNNNNNNNNNNNNNNNNNNNNNNNNNNNNNNNNNNNNNNNNNNNNNNNNNNNNNNNNNNNNNNNNNNNNNNNNNNNNNNNNNNNNNNNNNNNNNNNNNNNNNNNNNNNNNNNNNNNNNNNNNNNNNNNNNNNNNNNNNNNNNNNNNNNNNNNNNNNNNNNNNNNNNNNNNNNNNNNNNNNNNNNNNNNNNNNNNNNNNNNNNNNNNNNNNNNNNNNNNNNNNNNNNNNNNNNNNNNNNNNNNNNNNNNNNNNNNNNNNNNNNNNNNNNNNNNNNNNNNNNNNNNNNNNNNNNNNNNNNNNNNNNNNNNNNNNNNNNNNNNNNNNNNNNNNNNNNNNNNNNNNNNNNNNNNNNNNNNNNNNNNNNNNNNNNNNNNNNNNNNNNNNNNNNNNNNNNNNNNNNNNNNNNNNNNNNNNNNNNNNNNNNNNNNNNNNNNNNNNNNNNNNNNNNNNNNNNNNNNNNNNNNNNNNNNNNNNNNNNNNNNNNNNNNNNNNNNNNNNNNNNNNNNNNNNNNNNNNNNNNNNNNNNNNNNNNNNNNNNNNNNNNNNNNNNNNNNNNNNNNNNNNNNNNNNNNNNNNNNNNNNNNNNNNNNNNNNNNNNNNNNNNNNNNNNNNNNNNNNNNNNNNNNNNNNNNNNNNNNNNNNNNNNNNNNNNNNNNNNNNNNNNNNNNNNNNNNNNNNAAACUCUUCACCACCUCUUUGAUUACCAAAAAAUCCAUUGGUAUUCAAAUCUUCCCAAAUUGUGUCAUUUGGACCAAGGUUAUUGGUUCAACUCUUCCUAAUGAGGAUAUCUUGUUAGGAUUUGACAUCCUUCACCAGAUCAAACACCUCCAAAUCAUUCCCACUGGAAUCCGAGUCAAGUCCAUGUUCAAACCAUUCACAGACAUUCUGAAACUCUACAAUUUGUCUGAAACUCCCCACUCUUACCAGGAUAUUUCAACCAAACUUUUGAGUUUCUGUCCAGAGUCCCAUUCUGAGUUCACCCAUCCAAAUCCCUUGUGGAAAAAUAAGUCUUUCUUCAUUAAGUUACCUUUCAAACUAAAUGAAGACAUUAACCCAACCAAAGCAUGUUUACUUUUCUCAAAAAUGCCCAGAUCUUUUCAAAAUUUGAUUUAAAAUCUGCUGCUGUACCGUACAUCCGCCUUGGCCGUACAGCAGUUUGAUGAUCUUCCAUCUCAUAAAUGGCGUGACCGACUCACUAAGAUGUCUGCCUGGAUUGACCUCCAGAUGCUAAGACCAGGAGCAACAACUCAAUCAGUCCUUAGAGAAUUUGCUACUCGUUUCACGGGUGCUCUAAGAGAUUGGUUUGAUUCGUUAGGCCAAUACCACCAAUUACAGUUUGUUGGACCUUCUAGAAGUUUCAAGUGCUCUUGCUGUACUUCAUGAUAUGACCUUAAACCACCAUCAGAUCCUCCACCUCCACCAGCUCCAUUACCCAUCUACCGAAAAGAACUCAAAUGGAUUGCCAAACAUUGCAAAUCUGAGAUCCCAUCACCAUUCCCAAACCCAAUACCUAUCGUCCAACCACUGGCUUGUAUGAUGUUUUCCUCUACCUCUUCCGAUUACUCUUCUAACCCGACAUCCAGAGACAACUCACAGCAUCUAAUCUUUCCCUGAAUCCGCCCAGAUCAGUGAAUCUUCAUACCCUCUCAUAAGCCCUUACCAACUCUACAAACGCCCCAGUUCUUUUACUCGCAGUAUUCGUACUCUCAUAUCCACCCGACGACCUCACCCUAAAGAAUAUAUCCAGUCUUCCCGUCUGGAUCAAUGUUCUCUUCAAGCAACCCCUGCUGAGCAAUAUGUCACUCUCGAAAUACCCUCAGAAUUAAUUUCCAACUGGAAACAAGAAGGUUACACUUAUCUCCAUCUUGGAGGCAUCAGAUUAAUCCUUACCCUUCAUGGGAGAAAAGGAUUACCAGUUACCGCUCGAAUUGCUAUGCUUGAUACCCGAUUCAAACAAUACCAAGAUGCUGUUAUCGGUACUGUCCUCACAACCCUUCAUGCAGGAAGUGUUUUACUCACUUUCUAUCCCAAUUUCAACAUUUCUCUCCAAGACCCAAAUUUGCCCACAACCUUGAAAGUCCAAGUUCAGAUCCAAGGUGCUGAACAAAUUUCUUCUGCCAAAAUUGCCACUUUACACCACCAACUGGUCUACAGGCUUCAAAAUCACGCCUUAGAUCUACCCACUCCAGAACACCACUCUGACACCCUCAUGGUGUUAGCAGAAUCCGACCAGAUCCCGACAAUUAUCCAGAUCCCAAGACAAAUUCCACGUCAUGAGCUCAUCAAGCUUAUGCCUCUUGAAUGGAUCUCCAACUAUGAACAGUUCCACAAUAAUACAGCUCCUAUUCAGACAUCUGAAAGUAUGUUUGAAAGACGACAAGAUGGAACAGUCAGAAUGACUUUUAAACCACCUCCCAGUGCUCCACAAGAGCCUCCUCGACUCUCCUUUACCUAUUCUUCAAUGAUCACAGCUGUUCAGACAGCCCAAGAAGAUCUGCCCAUUACAGGGUUUAAUUCUGAAGGCUACCCUGUUUAUCCAGCCAAGCACAACGGCCAUUUCUACGGUACAGCAGAACCACAAGGAAAAAGAAACCCAAAAAGAAAAAACCUUCUGUCCCAUGUCACCACUGUGACCCCAAACCACCAUCAGAUCCUCCACCUCCACCAGCUCCAUUACCCAUCUACCGAAAAGAACUCAAAUGGAUUGCCAAACAUUGCAAAUCUGAGAUUCCAUCACCCCUCUCACACUCAACACCUAUCGUCCAACCACUGGCUUGUAUGAUGUUUUCCUCUACCUCUUCCGAUUACUCUUCUUCCUUUCCUUCUUUGGAACCCCACACAGAUCCCCAACGAAAUGUUGUGUCAAAACCCUUUAUCCCUUCACCUAUUACCUCCACUGGCCACCUAGAGCCCCCUAAACCCUUUGAAUCAGUCCUCAACUGGCAAACCCAAAAUGCCAGGGCACAAAAUGAUACCUUGUUGCAUCUCAAUUCAAAAGUUGAGAACAUCAGUUUGCGAACUGAACAGAUUGAGACAAAAGUUGACUCCAUCACUGCACAGAUGCAGCAGAUCUACCAAAACCUCCAGUCCAGAAUUUCUCAACUUGACUCUGAGUUACGAGCCAUGCUUGCCCAUCGUUACUCAGGCCCCGAAUUUGACCAAAAAGAAAGGAAAAUCAGACGCUUAGAAGCUGAACUUGCUCAGAUUGAAUCUGAAAAACAGAGACCUACCCUUUUCACCACUUCACCUCCUAUCCCUUCCAUCGGUCCAACUUAUCAUCCUUUUGCCUCUAUGCUUUCUCCUAUUAAACAGUAUGACCCUUCCAAGUUAUUUCGUAUGACUCAUACUCUUUUCAGAGACAAUCCUUUGCCACCACCACCUAAACCUAAACCCAAACCUAGACCGCAGCCUCGCCCUGCCCCUUUUCAUCCUUCCCCACUGACCAUCCCUGGCCAACCAUCUCCUAGUUCUACACCGGCAUCACCACUAGCUCCAUUAUCAAUCCCUACCCAAUCAAAGGAUAAAGAACCUAUGCACCAAUUUACUGCUCACACAGUCACCCAUUCAUCUACUACAGCCGAUCAAACUUCUGAUUCAAAUCUAGCUGUUUCAGAUAGCCCUACCGAAACUGAUACAGAAUCUUCAGCAUCCACCAGUGACUCAAAAAAGUCUUAUGCUGAUAUUACCAAAAUCCUGAUGGUUCAACCUGAUCCACCUACCCAAGGCCAAACCUCCCAUACAGAACCAUAUGUUGAUAUUCCUUGUGAAGUUGAAGACGAAAUGCAUGAAUCUUCUGCCACAAACCACCCUCCUCCAACCCAGACCAAUCCAUCUAGCCAAAAAUCGUCAAAUGGCCCAUGGUUCACAUUUGAUGAUCUUCCAUCUCAUAAAUGGCGUGACCGACUCACUAAGAUGUCUGCCUGGAUUGACCUCCAGAUGCUAAGACCAGGAGCAACAACUCAAUCAGUCCUUAGAGAAUUUGCUACUCGUUUCACGGGUGCUCUAAGAGAUUGGUUUGAUUCGUUAGGACAAUAUCGUCAGUUACAGUUUAUUGACCUUCCAGAAGUUUCAAGUGCUCUUGCUGUUCUUGAUGAUCAAUUCCUUGGUGACCCUUCUGCAGUCUUUGAAGCUGCCAGACGAGAUUAUCUCAACAUGAAAUGCUGCUCCCUCAAUGCUAAGGAUCUUGACUUCCAUUAUAAGCGAAUGUCCCUGCUGUUCUAUAAGCUUAAUGGAUUCAAUGAGCCGACAUUAAAGCAUGUCUUUCUGGCUUCCCUCCCCGAAGAACUCCAACCCAACAUCCAGAGACAACUCACAGCAUCCAAUCUUUCCCUAGACAACAUCUCUCUUGGCAAAAUCUUUCAGCUUGCCAAAACUUGUCUUGACAAACUUUGCGAGCAAAAACAGUUUUUCAAAGAACUGUUGAAAGACAAAGAACCUUUCCGAAGUGCUUGCAAAAAGCCUUAUUUGCAGAUCAAAUGCCACAAGAAAAAGGAUUGCGAUUGCAGUUCAAAGAAAAAAAGGCAUUUUUGGAAAUUCAAAUCUCCAGAAUUUUCAUCCAAACCUCGCAGAUCCCGAAAGCCCUACCGGUUCUUCAGAAAGAAAUCUUCCUCCUCCAGAGAAUUCAAACGAAAGCAAUCAAGCAGAUGUUUCAUCUGCAAGAGAAAAGGCCACUAUGCCAAAGAUUGCCCCAACAAAAGAGAAAAAUCCAUCCGGUUAGUUGAGCAUCUUCAAGCAACUACCGACUACUCUCCCGCCAAAGAUGAGCUGGAAUUCUAUUUCUCUGAACAAGAUGAACCCAACGAUGAAACAGUGUUCGCACUACAAAAUUCCUCUGACUCAGAUAGUGACCAGUCUCAAGUGAUUUUCCACCAACAGUUACUCUCCCUUGACACUACAGUUCCUAUCCCAUCCAUCAAACUCCAGAUCUUGCCCUCCAAAUUCCAAAGGCCCAUUCCAGCAAUUGGUCUUAUAGAUACUGGCGCCCAACGCAGCAUGUUAAACCCCCAUAUUCUUCCAUCAGAAUAUUGGACCAAGUCUGAAGAACAUUUCAAAGCUGUCAAUGGCAAACUCUUCACCACCUCUUUGAUUACCAAAAAAUCCAUUGGUAUUCAAAUCUUCCCAAAUUGUGUCAUUUGGACCAAGGUUAUUGGUUCCACUCUUCCUAAUAAGGAUAUCUUAUUAGGAUUUGACAUCCUUCACCAAAUCAAACACCUCCAAAUCAUUCCCACUGGAAUCCGAGUCAAGUCCAUGUUCAAACCAUUCACAAACAUUCUGAAACUCUACAAUUUGUCUGAAACUCCCCAGUCUUACCAGGAUAUUUCAACCAAACUUUUGAGUUUCUGUCCAGAGUCCCCUGCUGUAUUCACCCAUCCAAAUCCUUUGUGGAAAAAUAAGUCUUUCUUCAUUAAGUUACCCUUCAAACUAAAUGAAGACAUCAACUCGACCAAAGCUACUCAUCCAGGAAUGAGUCCUUCUGACUUACUCCUAGCCCAACAAGAAUGUUCACAGUUGUUAGCCCAAGGUUUAAUUGAGCCCACAAGUUCUCAAUGGGCUUGCCAAGCCUUUUAUGUUGAAAAGCAUUCUGAAAUUGUCCGAGGAAAGAAACGCCUAGUCAUUGACUACCAGCCAUUAAACAUGUUUUUACAAGAUGACAAAUUCCCAUUACCUCGUCGACAAAGCAUGUUUACUUUUCUCAAAAAUGCCCAGAUCUUUUCAAAAUUUGAUUUAAAAUCUGGUUUUUGGCAACUAGGCAUUGAACCCUCCGAACGCUACAAAACCGCUUUUUGUAUUCCCAAUGCCCACUUUCAAUGGACCGUCCUACCCUUUGGUCUCAAAACUGCCCCAUCCAUUUUCCAAAAAUCCAUGGUCCAAAUCUUCCAACCCAUUUUGCAUCAUGCAUUGAUUUAUAUUGAUGAUAUCUUGCUUUUUUCAGGCUCACAUGAUGAACAUCGCCAGCUGUUAACUCAAUUCUAUGAUAUUCUCCAAAGUCAUGGAAUCAUGUUAUCAGCCAAGAAAAGCACCAUUGCUACAAACAACAUUGAAUUCCUUGGUAUGGUCAUCAAAGAUGGACACUAUCAGCCAGGAAAGCACAUUGCCCAAGAAUUGCUUCACUUUCCAGAUCAGCAACUUUCCAAAAGGCAAAUUCAACAGUUUCUCAGCAUUAUCAACUACAUCCGUGAUUUCAUCCCACACGUGGAUCAUUACACUCAUCAUCUUUCGGCUUUAUUGAAAAAGAAGCCCCCAGAGUGGAAUGCUGACCACACAAUUGCUGUCACAACCCUAAAGCAGAUCGCGCAAAAUUCGCCUCCUUUAAAGUUGAUUACUGAUGGAAAAUGCAUCCUCCAGACAGACGCAAGUGAUGAAUCAUGGGGUGCCAUCCUCCUCGAAGAACUCAAUGACAAGGGACACUUUAUCGCUUACGCUAGUGGACAUUUUUCUGACACAGAAGCACUACCAUAGCGUGUUCAAAGAAAUCUUAGCGGUAAAGAAUGGCAUCAAAAAGUUUGAGUAUCAUUUGUUUGGACACCAUUUUCUUAUCCGAAUGGACAGUUCAGCCUUCCCCAAUAUUCUCAAUUUCAAAGGCAAAACUGUUCCUGAAAAAAUGUUACUUAGGUUAAAAGAUUGGUUUUCUAAAUAUGACUUUUCAGUUAAGCAUAUAAAGGGAUCCCAGAACCUCAUCCCUGAUAUGCUUUCCAGACUUUCCAAACCAGAAAAUCCUCUCAUCCUGUUUUCCACUACCUACCAUUUUCCGAUUAUCUCCAUGGCUACCUCACUACCCCCAAAAGCUCUCACCAAGAAAACUUUUCCCUUCAACAAAAACUUCUCUUCUGUUUUCGCCAUCCAAGAAUUUGCUAGAAAAGCUCUCUUUCGCUUUUUCAUGAAAGCCUACCUUAUCACAAACCCUUUUCCCUUAUCCACUUUCCACCCUGAAAAUCUGUUCCUUACAGGUUUAACCCUUGAUCCAUCCAAAGAAACCACUGAAGAUGUGUUAUGGUAUGUUUGGUGCCUCACUGUCCUCUAUGCCACCAAGCUAAUCCUUCCCAUUUCUCCUACUUUGGAACAUCUCCUUAAUCCAGACAAUGCUACUUCUCUUACCUGGACACUACUUGAAUGGUUCUCCCCCAUCCCAUGGUGGAGAAAGAAACUACAACAACUGUCAGAAAUUCACAACCUUGAUCGUAUGCCUGCCCCUGAAGCACAACUGUUCACAUCAGUCUUUAUUAUUCACAGGCCAUACUUUCAGCAUCCCGAUACAAAACUCUUUUGGACUCAAGAUCAGGUAUAUGAAUGGUUCACUGCACCACAUAUAGCUGUCAUUGAAAAUGACAUUCAAGACGUCCUGCACAAUUACCUCUGUCAAUUAAACCACCAACCUCCGCCACUUAAAGAUAUCUCCCACACCUCCUUAGGUCCUCAACAUGACCUCCUCAUGAUCCCCACUCCAUCUGCCAUAUCUAAACCUAAGUCCAUUGGUAUCAUCAUUAAAGAAGAACGCCCAGAUUACACUGACUUCCUUUACCAGGACUCACAAGACCCAUGGGAAGACUUCCUUCCUCUGAGCCAACACCUUCACCAGUUUCCCCAACCAACAAUGGAUGAACCUGGCCCCUCUGAACCAGGAUCCUCAUCACAAGCCUCCAAAGCUGACAAACCCACUCAGAUGCCAAGCCCCAAGUCUCAGCCAUCACCUUCCAAACCCGGAUACCGAAGAGAUUGUCCUUAUCCAUCUUGCCGUGGUCCCAACUGUAAGCAUCCAAAGCUCUCCAAGACCUUUUUCCCAAAAAGCAACCCUGACAACCCAUAUGAGACAGAAAGCUCCUCUGAAGACGACUACAUGAAUCUCCGCUCUCC
rnacentral:lncRNA from 1 species